rnacentral:rRNA from 1 species
AGCGAACGCUGGCGGCAGGCUUAACACAUGCAAGUCGAGCGGGCGUAGCAAUACGUCAGCGGCAGACGGGUGAGUAACGCGUGGGAACAUACCUUUUGGUUCGGAACAACACAGGGAAACUUGUGCUAAUACCGGAUAAGCCCUUACGGGGAAAGAUUUAUCGCCGAAAGAUUGGCCCGCGUCUGAUUAGCUAGUUGGUGAGGUAAUGGCUCACCAAGGCGACGAUCAGUAGCUGGUCUGAGAGGAUGAUCAGCCACAUUGGGACUGAGACACGGCCCAAACUCCUACGGGAGGCAGCAGUGGGGAAUAUUGGACAAUGGGCGCAAGCCUGAUCCAGCCAUGCCGCGUGAGUGAUGAAGGCCCUAGGGUUGUAAAGCUCUUUUGUGCGGGAAGAUAAUGACGGUACCGCAA